GGCUUGUUCCUUGAGUCAGGAAUGAGCACUGGACACUUAUCACACGGAGCUCUGUUUUACAGCCUCUUCUGACAGGCAAUCUUCUGUGUGAAAGACAGAGAGGCCAAGGUCAGUAAUAGGCAAUCACUGUCCAUCACAUUAAAGAAUGGCUGCCACAAGCAGACUGGAGUCAAGGCUUGUGCAGGGGAAUUGCA